AUGUGUUACUUCUCUUCCCUUUGCCUGCGUGGUCACGUUCAACUCAUCUUCACUCUCACCUGCAGGGAUCCUUCUCCAUCCUCCCUAUCUGCUCUUCCAAUGUAAUCUUCUGUAUCAUGCCAAAGCAACUGCUCCUCCUCCUCCAGCAGGGCUCAACAACAGGUAUUAAUGGAACACCUACUACGAUGCACACGACAUGGGAACUAUGCGGUGGCUCAGAUGGAUGCACACUCUGCUUUGGAGCAGCAUAGAAACAUCAGGAAACUGGGACAAGAGCUGCCAGGGAAAGUGGAAUGGUAGCUCUCCCAGGGCAGGUGUGAACUGGGCUUACUCAUGGCGGGCCUUCAGCACCUAGACGCCUCCUUGGACCAUCAGCCUUGAUGGAUUCUUAUCGAAUGAAGGCAUACAUGCAUGGAUGUGCUGUCUGUCCCCAUACUGCAUCUGAGUGAAGAGACUCUCCCUGGCCUCCACAAUCCCACACAGUCCCCAAAGAGAAAGCAUCCUAACCACAAGACUCCUCUGCAAAGGAGAUAAAAGGACAUGUACUGCUCAAUUGGGGCUUCUCUGGGGGUUUGCCAAAAGCUAGAACAGAAAACUUCCUAAGCUUAAAAAAAUCUUUGAGUUCAUUUAAGUCCCACCUACACAACAUGCACAUCCACUGCAAACCAGCCCUGGGCUUGUCUCCAUCUGUCUGUGAGCGAUGGGAAAGAGGUUUGCAUCCAGAACGCAUUUAUCUCACUCUGCACGCAUGCAUCUGUUACUUGCUGGGGACCCAGAUAUGAUAGUUAUUUCCAGGCUGACAAUUUAUAACAGAUUCAAGUGGCCAGUACAUUUCAGGGUGUGCAAACAAUCCUGCAAGUGGACGGGUUCAGACUGUGGCAGACAACAGCCUGUGGAAGCAAGACAGAGUCAGGCCCAUCCAGCUCACUAUUGAAAUGGAGUCAUUUUAAUGAAACCUUAAGACAACUGUGGGGAAAUGGCCAUAGGGUUAGAGUGGGGGGUGAUUAGCUUUCUGGGGAGCCAGA